rnacentral:rRNA from 1 species
UAAGACAGAGGUGCCGAGCGUUAGGCGGAAUCACUGGGCUUAAAGCGUGUGUAGGCGGGCCGUUAAGUGCCCCGUGAAAUCCCCCGGCUCAACCGGGGAACGGCGGGGCAUACUGGCGGCCUUGAGCCACUUAAGGGCAGACGGAACAAGCGGUGGAGCGGUGAAAUGCGUAGAUAUCGCUUGGAACGCCGA